rnacentral:rRNA from 1 species
AGAGUUUGAUCAUGGCUCAGGAUGAACGCUGGCGGCGUGCCUAAUACAUGCAAGUCGAACGCACAGCGAAAGGUGCUUGCACCUUUCAAGUGAGUGGCGAACGGGUGAGUAACACGUGGACAACCUGCCUCAAGGCUGGGGAUAACAUUUGGAAACAGAUGCUAAUACCGAAUAAAACUCAGUGUCGCAUGACACAAAGUUAAAAGGCGCUUUGGCGUCACCUAGAGAUGGAUCCGCGGUGCAUUAGUUAGUUGGUGGGGUAAAGGCCUACCAAGACAAUGAUGCAUAGCCGAGUUGAGAGACUGAUUGGCCACAUUGGGACUGAGACACGGCCCAAACUCCUACAGGAGGCUGCAGUAGGGAAUCUUCCACAAUGGGCGAAAGCCUGAUGGAGCAACGCCGCGUGUGUGAUGAAGGCUUUCGGGUCGUAAAGCACUGUUGUAUGGGAAGAACAGCUAGAAUAGGGAAUGAUUUUAGUUUGACGGUACCAUACCAGAAAGGGACGGCUAAAUACGUGCCAGCAGCCGCGGUAAUACGUAUGUCCCGAGCGUUAUCCGGAUUUAUUGGGCGUAAAGCGAGCGCAGACGGUUGAUUAAGUCUGAUGUGAAAGCCCGGAG